rnacentral:rRNA from 1 species
GACGUAGGGCGCGAGCGUUGUCCGGAUUUAUUGGGCGUAAAGAGCUCGUAGGCGGCUUGUCGCGUCGUCCGUGAAAACUUGGGGCUCAACCCCAAGCUUGCGGUCGAUACGGGCAGACUAGAGGUAGGCAGGGGAGAGCGGAACUCCUGGUGUAGCGAUGGAAUGCGCAGAUAUCAGGAAGAACACCGGUGGCGAAGGCGGCUCUCUGGGCCUUACCUGACGCUGAGGAGCGAAAGCGUGGGUAGCGAACAGG